CCCUUAGAUGUCCUGGGCCGCGCGCGCGUUACACUGAUGCAUUCAACGAGCUUAUAACCUUGGCCGGGAGGCCUGGGCAAUCUUGUUAACGUGCAUCGUGAUAGGGAUAGAUUAUUGAAAUUAUUAAUCUUGAACGAGGAAUUCCUAGUAAACGCAGAUCAUCAAUCUGCAUUGAUUACGUCCCUGCCCUUUGUACACACCGCCCGUCGCACCUACCGAUUGGAUGGUCCGGUGAAGCCUCGGGAUUGUGGUUCUUGCCGCUUUAUUGUGGCGUGACCGCGAGAACUUGUCUAAACCUUAUCAUCUAGAGGAAGGUGAAGUCGUAACA
rnacentral:rRNA from 1 species